rnacentral:rRNA from 1 species
AUUGAACGCUGGCGGCAUGCCUUACACAUGCAAGUCGAACGGUAGGGGGAGCAAUCCCCUGAGAGUGGCGAACGGGUGAGUAAAGCAUCGGAACGUGCCCAGUUGUGGGGGAUAACUACUCGAAAGAGUGGCUAAUACCGCAUACGACCUGAGGGUGAAAGCGGGGGACCGAAAGGCCUCGCGCAGUUGGACCGGCCGAUGUCAGAUUAGCUAGUUGGGGGGGUAACGGCCCACCAAGGCGACGAUCUGUAGCUGGUCUGAGAGGACGACCAGCCACACUGGGACUGAGACACGGCCCAGACUCCUACGGGAGGCAGCAGUGGGGAAUUUUGGACAAUGGGCGCAAGCCUGAUCCAGCCAUGCCGCGUGCAGGAAGAAGGCCUUCGGGUUGUAAACUGCUUUUGUCAGGGAAGAAAUCCCUUGGGUUAAUACCUCGGGGGGAUGACGGUACCUGAAGAAUAAGCACCGGCUAACUACGUGCCAGCCGCCGCGGUAACAC